rnacentral:rRNA from 1 species
CUCGUGUCGUGAGAUGUUGGGUUAAGUCCCGCAACCGAGCGCAACCCCUGCUGCCAGUUGCAACGGGUAGAGCCGGGCACUCUGGCGGGACUGCCAUCGACAAGAUGGAGGAAGGUGGGGAUGACGUCAAGUCAUCAUGGCCCUUAUGUCCAGGGCGACACACGUGCUACAAUGGCCGGCACAGCGGGAAGCGAGGCAGUGAUGCCAAGCGGAUCCCUUAAAGCCGGUCUCAGUUCGGAUUGAAGUCUGCAACUCGACUUCAUGAAGCUGGAAUCGCUAGUAAUCGCAGAUCAGCCAAGCUGCGGUGAAUACGUUCCCGGGCCUU